UACGUAGGGGGCAAGCGUUGUCCGGAAUCAUUGGGCGUAAAGCGUGCGCAGGCGGUUUUGUAAGCCAGAUGUGAAAUCCCCGGGCUUAACCUGGGAAUGGCAUUUGGGACUGCAAGGCUUGAGUGCGGCAGAGGGGGGUGGAAUUCCACGUGUAGCAGUGAAAUGCGUAGAGAUGUGGAGGAACACCGAUGGCGAAGGCAGCCCCCUGGGUCGACACUGACGCUCAUGCACGAAAGCGUGGGGAGCAAACAGG
rnacentral:rRNA from 1 species